rnacentral:rRNA from 1 species
GACGAACGCUGGCGGCGUGCUUAACACAUGCAAGUCGAACGAAGAGCGACGGAAGCUUGCUUCUAUCAAUCUUAGUGGCGAACGGGUGAGUAACGCGUAAUCAACCUGCCCUUCAGAGGGGGACAACAGUUGGAAACGACUGCUAAUACCGCAUACGAUCUAAUCUCGGCAUCGAGGAUAGAUGAAAGGUGGCCUCUACAUGUAAGCUAUCACUGAAGGAGGGGAUUGCGUCUGAUUAGCUAGUUGGAGGGGUAACGGCCCACCAAGGCGAUGAUCAGUAGCCGGUCUGAGAGGAUGAACGGCCACAUUGGGACUGAGACACGGCCCAGACUCCUACGGGAGGCAGCAGUGGGGAAUCUUCCGCAAUGGACGAAAGUCUGACGGAGCAACGCCGCGUGAGUGAUGACGGCCUUCGGGUUGUAAAGCUCUGUUAAUCGGGACGAAAGGCCUUCUUGCAAA